rnacentral:rRNA from 1 species
GACGAACGCUGGCGGCGUGCUUAACACAUGCAAGUCGAACGGAAAGGCCCUGCUUUUGUGGGGUGCUCGAGUGGCGAACGGGUGAGUAACACGUGAGUAACCUGCCCUUGACUUUGGGAUAACUUCAGGAAGCUGGGGCUAAUACCGGAUAGGAGCUCCUGCUGCAUGGUGGGGGUUGGAAAGUUUCGGCGGUUGGGGAUGGACUCGCGGCUUAUCAGCUUGUUGGUGGGGUAGUGGCUUACCAAGGCUUUGACGGGUAGCCGGCCUGAGAGGGUGACCGGCCACAUUGGGACUGAGAUACGGCCCAGACUCCUACGGGAGGCAGCAGUGGGGAAUAUUGCACAAUGGGCGGAAGCCUGAUGCAGCAACGCCGCGUGCGGGAUGACGGCCUUCGGGUUGUAAACCGCUUUCGCCUGUGACGAAGCGUGAGUGACGAUAAUGGGUAAAGAAGCACCGGCUAACUACGUG